CCUACGGGUGGCUGCAGUGGGGAGUAUUGGACAAUGGGGGAAACCCUGAUCCAGCCAUGCCGCGUGAGUGAUGAAGGCCUUCGGGUUGUAAAGCUCUUUUGGCGGGGAAGAUGAUGACGGUACCCGCAGAAUAAGCCCCGGCUAACUUCGUGCCAGCAGCCGCGGUAAGACGAAGGGGGCUAGCGUUGUUCGGAAUUACUGGGCGUAAAGGGCGCGUAGGUGGCCCUGCAAGUCAGGCGUUAAAGACCCAGGCUUAACCUGGGGAAUGCGCUUGAGACUGCGGGGCUUGAGACCGGAAGAGGAGAGUGGAAUUCCCAGUGUAGAGGUGAAAUUCGUAGAUAUUGGGAAGAACACCAGUGGCGAAGGCGGCUCUCUGGUCCGGUUCUGACGCUAAGGCGCGAAAGCGUGGGGAGCAAACAGGAUUAGAUACCCUAGUAGUC
rnacentral:rRNA from 1 species